rnacentral:rRNA from 1 species
CGGGACGCCUCGUUACUUUGAGAAAAUUAGAGUGUUUCAAGCAGGUUUCGCCUGUAUAAUUGAGCAUGGAAUAACCUUGUAUGACCCUGUCGUACCGUUGGUUGACUUUGGGUAAUGGUUAAUAGGAACGGUUGGGGGCAUUCGUACUCGACUGUCAGAGGUGAAAUUCUUAGAUUUGUCGAUGACGCACGACUGCGAAAGCAUUUGCCAAGGACGCUUCCAUUAAUCAAGAACGAAAGUUAGGGGAUCGAAGACGAUCAGAUACCGUCGUAGUCCUAACCUUAAACCAUGCCGACUAGGGAUUGGUGGUCGUCGCCUCGACUCCGUCAGCACCUUGAGAGAAAUCAAAGUCUUUGGGUCCUGGGGGGAGUAUGGUCGCAAGUCUGAAACUUAAAGGAAUUGACGGAAGGGCACCACCAGGCGUGGAGCCUGCGGCUUAAUUUGACUCAACACGGGGAACCUCACCAGGUCCAGACAGCGUAAGGAUUGACAGGUUGAUUGUCCUUUCUUGAUUCUCUGGGUAGUGGUGCAUGGCCGUUCUUAGUUGGUGGAGUGAUUUGUCUGGUUAAUUCCGUUAACGAACGAGACCUUAACCUGCUAUUUAGUCGCUCGGUCUCUGUCCGUGCGCACUUCAUAGAGGGACUCCGCGGCGUCAAGCUGCGGUGAGGUUUAAGGCAAUAACAGGUCUGUGAUGCCCUUAGAUGUCCUGGGCUGCACGCGCGCUACACUGAUGCUUGCCUCGUGUUUACCCUCGGCCGACAGGCCCUGGUAACCCCUAGUCUGCAUCGUGUUUGGGAUUGAUCUUUGCAAUUCUAGAUCAUGAACGAGGAAUGCCUAGUAUGCGCAAGUCAUCAGCUUGUGCAGAUUACGUCCCUGCCCUUUGUACACACCGCCCGUCGCUCCUACCGAUCGAGUGAUCCGGUGAAUUAUUCG